CUCACAUGGAGAAGAGAAUACUGCGACUUAAAGAAUAGGUUCUACUGCAGCAGCCAUAUCUCCUAGUUCUUGCAGUAAUGUUAAGCUUCAUCACUAUGGACCACUUUCAGUUAAGUCCAGUAGGGGACCAUGACUUUAAACCUGUAACGAAUAUCAUUGCAUGUACCAGAAAAUCAUGGAGAGUUGGCCAGAAGACAACCGGAGCCUGUUGAGAUUGGGGAACUUGGAAUUCGAGGAUGAAAUUUUUCGACCCGAGUCGUUGGAGUUUGAUAUCUGGAGCUUUGGACGUUAUGAUGGACUAGCAAUGGACGUAUUGUACGCUAGAUGGGAAACAUUUGCACUUGUAAUGCAUAACUGAUAAUCUUUUUCUCUACCAUAAAUGAAUCUCAAUUGCCUAUCUACAAUUCUAUCAUGGCCUAUUGUUUGUUCCUGUUUACCAAGGACUGAAAAUCUAUGUGCUAAAGGUGUAGAUUCAACUACGC
rnacentral:lncRNA from 1 species